AACGCGAAGAACCUUACCCAGGCUUGACAUGCAGUGGACAGCUUCAGAAAUGGAGUCUUCCUUCGGGACCGCUGCACAGGUGCUGCAUGGCUGUCGUCAGCUCGUGCCGUGAGGUGUUGGGUUAAGUCCCGCAACGAGCGCAACCCUUAUUGUUAAUUGCCAACACGUAAUGGUGGGAACUCUAGCAAGACUGCCUGGGUUAACCAGGAGGAAGGUGAGGAUGACGUCAAGUCCGCAUGGCCCUUAUGUCUGGGGCUACACACGUGCUACAAUGGCCGGUACAGAAGGAAGCUAAUCCGCGAGGUAGAGCAAAUCCGUAAAGCCGGCCCCAGUUCAGAUUGUAGUCUGCAACUCGACUACAUGAAGAUGGAAUUGCUAGUAAUGGCGAGUCAGCAACAUCGCCGUGAAUACGUUCUCGGGUCUUGUACACACGC
rnacentral:rRNA from 1 species